rnacentral:rRNA from 1 species
AUACGUAGGUGACAAGCGUUAUCCGGAUUUACUGGGCGUAAAGGGCGUGUAGGCGGUCUUGCAAGUCAGAAGUGAAAUUCCUGAGCUCAACUCGGGCGCUGCUUCUGAAACUGCAGGACUUGAGUGCUGGAGGGGAUAGCGGAAUUCCUAGUGGAGCGGUAAAAUGCGCAGAUAUUAGGAAGAACACCGGUGGCGAAGGCGGUUUUCUGGACAGUAUCUGACGCUGAGGCGCGAAAGCGUGGGGAGCAAACAGGAUUAGAUACCCUGGUGUUCCACGCCGUAAACGAUGAAUGCUAGGUGUAGGGGGUAUCGACUCCCUCUGUGCCGCAGUUAACACAAUAAGUAUUCCGCCUGGGGAGUACGGCCGCAAGGUUGUAACUCAAAUGAAUUGACGGGG